CAAAUCACCAGCGGCGACCGCUGAGCGAUGACCAAUCAUAUCGAGUUGUUUCCAUGACGAAUUUGACGCAAUGCGAUCCAACAUUGGAGACUUUCUUCAACAAAGAUGGCGGACAAAAAUACUAGGACAGAUGCAAAUGGACUCCUAAGAAACAACCAGCAAACCAGACUGUCGUCUUGUGAAACAUUGGAUGUAAAGAAUCUAGCUUGCCUUGCUGAUAUUUGCCGUGCAAUGCAGCUGUAGUAACGUAGCAAGCUAACUAUUUUCUUGCUUAUCGUGCAGUGGAGGAUAGAACUACCUGUAUGCCUUGUAUCUAGCUAUCUAGCCGAUCUGUGUAUUGACCCAAACGUUUGGUAUACAUAUUAGUUCAGAACCUAGCUAUGAACCUCAGCUAUCAUAGCCAGUUGUAUCAACUUCAAAACAGUGUGAAUGACAUUAAUGAAGCCUAUGGAUUGAGUAGAAUAUAAUAUAACUUUGUGCCAAGGAUGUAAGUCGUAUAUACAUGUAGUUAUUACCAUGGUCCCCUGUACAUUUGAAUAUAUUCACUGAUCAUGUACUCUACCUUGGCAAAUAAAGGUGCGG